CAGUAGCCGCGGUAAUGCGGAGGGAGCUAGCGUUGUUCGGAAUUACUGGGCGUAAAGCGCACGUAGGCGGUUAUUCAAGUCAGAGGUGAAAGCCCGGGGCUCAACCCCGGAACUGCCUUCGAAACUAGAUGACUGGAAUCUUGGAGAGGUCAGUGGAAUUCCGAGUGUAGAGGUGAAAUUCGUAGAUAUUCGGAAGAACACCAGUGGCGAAGGCGACUGACUGGACAAGUAUUGACGCUGAGGUGCGAAAGCGUGGGGAGCAAACAGGAUUAGAUACCCCCGUAGUCCCUGUCUCUUAUCC
rnacentral:rRNA from 1 species